UUUAAAAAAGGCGAUGGGGUUCGCCAUUAAGCAUCCAUAAGGGAUUAAUGACCCCUACUGAAAA
rfam:Candidatus Schekmanbacteria bacterium RBG_16_38_10 RBG_16_scaffold_45780, whole genome shotgun sequence.